GUGCUCACUUGGGCAGCACAUAUUCUAAAACUGGAUUGAUACAGAGAUGAUUAGCAUGGUCCGUUCACAACGAAGACAUGAUUUAAAAACUCUAAAGUAUUAUU
ensembl:snRNA U6 U6 spliceosomal RNA